ACAUUAAAAGGAGUCAAGUGUUCAUCUGUGCUCCUGGUGAGAGGUCUUAGAGGUGGCAUAAUGGUUGAUCAACAAGUGGAUCAGUGCUCAUGGAGACUUCUAUUUUGGGCUGUGCUCAUGGACACUUUUAUUUUGGGCAGUGCUUAUUUGGAAUAUCUAGGCUGGCUCCCCUUAUUUUGUAAAUGUGGCUGCUGCUUAUACCGUGGCCGGUGACAAACCCAACAUAUGAUCUAGCUAGCUUGACUUAGCACUGUGACAACAAAUGAUGUCUAUGAUGAAGCUUUGUUGUUCAACCAAUUAUAUAUGUAUUGGGUUCAUAUGAAAACUCUGAGCUCUAUUAUUUUAGUCAAUUCCAUGUUUGAUAUCUGUUGGCUUCAAAUGAAAAACAUGAUCUAUAUAUCUUUA